rnacentral:rRNA from 1 species
AUUGAACGCUGGCGGCAUGCUUUACACAUGCAAGUCGAACGGUAACAGGCCUUCGGGUGCUGACGAGUGGCGAACGGGUGCGUAAUGCAUCGGAACGUACCCAGAGGUGGGGGAUAACGCAGCGAAAGCUGUGCUAAUACCGCAUGUGAUCUGAGGAUGAAAGCGGGGGACCGAGCAGCAAUGUUUGGCCUCGCGCCUUUGGAGCGGCCGAUGUCGGAUUAGCUAGUUGGUGGGGUAAAGGCCUACCAAGGCGACGAUCCGUAGCUGGUCUGAGAGGACGACCAGCCACACUGGGACUGAGACACGGCCCAGACUCCUAUGGGAGGCAGCAGUGGGGAAUUUUGGACAAUGGGCGCAAGCCUGAUCCAGCAAUGCCGCGUGCGGGAAGAAGGCCUUCGGGUUGUAAACCGCUUUUGGCAGGAACGAAACGGUGUCCGCUAAUACCGGGCGCUAAUGACGGUACCUGCAGAAUAAGCACCGGCUAACUACGUG